AAACCUGAAGAAGUUGUAGUUUUUUUGCUUAAACCUAAAGAAGUUGUAGUUUUUUUUCUUAAACCUGAAGAAGUUGUAGUUUUUUUGCCUAAACCUAAAGAAGUUGUAGUUUUUUGCUUAAAUCUAAACAAUUUUGUAGUUUUAUUCCCUAAACCUACAGAAGUUGUAGUUUUUUUCUUAAAUCUAAAGAAGUUGUAGUUUUAUUGCCUAAACCUAAAGAAGUCUUUUUGUUUAGACCUAAUGAGGUUGUAGUUUUAUCGCC